rnacentral:sRNA from 1 species
CAGCUAUGCUUUGAAUUUGUGCCAUGCC